rnacentral:lncRNA from 1 species
GGCUGCUCGGCCGCCGCCGCUGCCGGGAGCCUGCCCCGCGAGGGGCUCUCCCUUUCGGCCUGCAGACGGCGGCUGCUCCCCGGGCGGAUGUCCGAGGAUCCCCCCAGCCCCUGCCCCCUCCUCGGGGGAGCCGGCCCCGGUGGAAGGCGUGGAGGAGGUGGGGGUGUGCAGGGGCACUGGACGGCGUCACAGACCCACGUUGCAAGUCAGAGGGGAACAACAACGACGACGACGAAGACGGAAAAGAGAGCAAGGCAGAAACGGGAGAAACAGCCAAAGAGAAGAGAGGCGGAGAGGGAGAGAAAAGAGAAAGAUGGAGAGAGUCUGUACCAAAGCCUCAUCCUUGCAGUCCUCCCAUUUCUAUCUCCUUUAUACGGUAACUUUGGAUCCCGCCCCAGAAGUAUUAUGAAUGACAAAAAUGACAGUUACAUUCAACCUUCCAUUAUGAUGGCAAAAUACAGGAAGUGUGGAGUCUUGGAAAUCUAAACAUAAAUGUUCGGUGAUUUUUCAUCAUUCUUUUUUUGGUAAGACUUAGAGUCCCAAAUUUUUUCUCUCCCUCCUCCUUUCCCAAGACAACAAGCAAUCGGAUACAGGCUAUACAUGUACAGUCAUGUUACACAGAUUUCCACGUUUGUCUUGUCAUGAAAGAAGAACGAAAGGGAAAAACUGAUAGAAAGAAAAAAAUUUUUAAAAAUGAAAAUAAUAAGCGGGGAUCUGCAUUCAGACUCCCUAUUUCUUUCAUUUUCGAUCACAAGGGCAGAGAUCUUUUUUAAGGAAGACAAUAUAUGGCGCUGUGGAAAGAGCCAUUGGCUCCUGAAUGUUCAAAUCUCACCUUUGAUGCUGACUACCUACCUGACUUGGACAAGUUACAUAAUCCCUCUGGGACACAAUUGUCCUUUCCUGAAUUCCCUUCCUACUAUCACUGAUAUUAAGUUAAAAGAAUGGGCUUUCAGAGAAGGGACUUCAGAGGCCAUCUCACCCAAUCCCCUCAUUUUACAGAUUAGAGAACAAAAAUUAAGCCACUUGUCCAAAGUCACAUGGAUAUUGACUUGGUGACAUGUUUUACACUUUUAUCUCCUGAUUUUCUCCACAAUGGGGAGAGGGAAAGAGAAGGAAAAAAGAAGCAUUUCUAUUUUACUCAAGAAAUGCAGGUUGAAUGUCCUGUCCACAUCUAGAUUAGAAAUCCAG